UCAUGAAUCUACUCCCUUCAUCUCAUCUUGUCUGUCAGUAGGGGAGGUCUUCAUGAAUCUACUCCCUUCAUCUCAUCUUGUCUGUCAGUAGGGGAGGUCUUCAUGAAUCUACUCCCUUCAUCUCAUCUUGUCUGUCAGUAGGGGAGGUCUUCAUGAAUCUACUCCCUUCAUCUCAUCUUGUCUGUCAGUAGGGGAGGUCUUCAUGAAUCUACUCCCUUCAUCUCAUCUUGUCUGUCAGUAGGGGAGGUCUUCAUGAAUCUACUCCCUUCAUCUCAUCUUGUCUGUCAGUAGGGGAGGUCUUCAUGAAUCUACUCCCUUCAUCUCAUCUUGUCUGUCAGUAGGGGAGGUCUUCAUUAAUCUACUCCCUUCAUCUCAUCUUGUCUGUCAGUAGGGGAGGUCUUCAUGAAUCUACUCCCUUCAUCUCAUCUUGUCUGUCAGUAGGGGAGGUCUUCAUGAAUCUACUCCCUUCAUCUCAUCUUGUCUGUCAGUAGGGGAGGUCUUCAUGAAUCUACUCCCUUCAUCUCAUCUUGUCUGUCAGUAGGGGAGGUCUUCAUGAAUCUACUCCCUUUAUCUCAUCUUGUCUGUCAGUAGGGGAGGUCUUCAUGAAUCUACUCCCUUCGUCUCAUCUUGUCUGUCAGUAGGGGAGGUCUUCAUGAAUCUACUCCCUUCAUCUCAUCUUGUCUGUCAGUAGGGGAGGUCUACAUUAAUCUACUCCCUUCAUCUUAUCUGUCAGUAGGGGAGGUCUUCAUGAAUCUACUCCCUUCAUCUCAUCUUGUCUGUCAGUAGGGGAGGUCCUAAUGAAUCUACUCCCUUCAUUCUCCCAUCAGAGUCGUAUGAUGGAGGGACGGAGAGAAAGAAGGAGAGAUGGAGAAAAAACACAUGAAUGAGAAACGGAGAGAUGGUGAGCUUGUCCCUGCAAUGUAGCCAUCUGUGUGUGUC